rnacentral:rRNA from 1 species
CAGCCGCCGCGGGAACACGUAGGUGGCAAGCGUUGUCCGGAAUUAUUGGGCGUAAAGGGCUCGCAGGCGGUUUCUUAAGUCUGAUGUGAAAGCCCCCGGCUCAACCGGGGAGGGUCAUUGGAAACUGGGAAACUUGAGUGCAGAAGAGGAGAGUGGAAUUCCACGUGUAGCGGUGAAAUGCGUAGAGAUGUGGAGGAACACCAGUGGCGAAGGCGGCUCUCUGGUCUGUAACUGACGCUGAGGAGCGAAAGCGUGGGGAGCGAACAGGAUUAGAUACCCUGUAGUCCCUGUCUCUUAUACA